rnacentral:rRNA from 1 species
UACGUAGGGGGGCAAGCGUUGUCCGGAAUCAUUGGGCGUAAAGCGCGUGUAGGCGGCUCGGUAAGUCCGCUCUGAAAGUCCAGGGCUCAACCCUGGGAUGCGGGUGGAUACUGCCGGGCUCGAGUCCGGAAGAGGCGAGUGGAAUUCCCGGUGUAGCGGUGAAAUGCGCAGAUAUCGGGAGGAACACCAAUGGCGAAGGCAGCUCGCUGGGACGUGACUGGCGCUGACGACGACGAAAGCGGUGGGGAGCAAACA